rnacentral:pre_miRNA from 1 species
GUUGUCGGAUUCACUUCAAUCCAUAUGUGUUGGUGUGGGUUGAUGUGAAAUUUAGUUUAAAUUCUAUAACAAUCCACCUCAACGCAUGUGGAUUGAUAUGCUCCGACU